rnacentral:snoRNA from 14 species
AAGACUAUACUUUCAGGGAUCAUUUCUAUAGUUUGUUACUAGAGAAGAUUCUCUGACUGUGUAGGGUACCGAAAACCAUGAGGAAGAGGUGUAGCGUUCUCUCCUGAGCGUGAAGGCGGCUUUCGGUGUUGCUUUUCUGCAACUGCUUAUUGCCAUUGAUGAUCGUUCUGCUUUUCCAUUUUGGGAGAGUUAGAGGGAGAGAACGCAGUCUGAGUGGU